rnacentral:rRNA from 1 species
AGCGAACGCUGGCGGCAGGCCUAACACAUGCAAGUCGAACGAAGUCUUCGGACUUAGUGGCGGACGGGUGAGUAACACGUGGGAACGUGCCUUUAGGUUCGGAAUAACUCAGGGAAACUUGUGCUAAUACCGAAUGUGCCCUUCGGGGGAAAGAUUUUUCGCCUUUAGAUCGGCCCGCGUCUGAUUAGCUAGUUGGUGAGGUAAAGGCUCAACAAGGCUACGAUCAGGAGCUGGUCGGAGAGGAUGACCAGCCACAUUGAGACUGAGACACGGCCCAAACUCCUACGGGAGGCAGCAGUGGGGAAUCUUGCGCAAUGGGCGAAAGCCUGACGCAGCCAUGCCGCGUGGAUGAUGAAGGUCUUAGGAUUGUAAAAUCCUUUCACCGGUGAAGAUAAUGACUGUAGCCGGAGAAGAAGCCCCGGCUAACUUCGUGCCAGCAGCCGCCGUAAAAC